CUAUCUGUUAAGCUGUGAGGAGCUCUGGUCAGUCUAUAAUGAGCCCCUCAGCCCUGACCAGGACCAUCCAUAGUUCCCCUGGCUCUGGCAACUCAUGAACCAAGAAUGGGGCAGGGUGGAGGGACACGAGAGCCUGAGAAGAGCUGAGCCAGCAGAGCUACUACAUCUUCUGUCUCCAAGGCCCUUUGGGCAGGGUCCCUCGUUUGUGACAUUACUAUCCUUGAGGCCCCAUGUGGCGUGGCAUGAAGAAGGACAGGGAGCCUGGCCCAACCCCAUCUGGGAAGUACAUCUCCCAGGCAGUUCUGCUAACUCAAGACAAACUGGAUUGAGCUUAAGCUAGUGGUGACACACUUGUAGAGGUGACACACUUGUAGAGGCCCCUGGCCUUCUGCUCCCAUGACACUGGAUGGUGAGCAUGGCAGCUAGCCCAUCCUAGUCACGCAACUGUUCAGAGGGCCAACAUGGAGCUAUGGAUGGCCAGCUGGAAAGCACAGUCUGUAAUAGAGAGCCAGGGUUCCAGAAAGAACCCUCAUUUAGACACGAGAUGCAAUAGCCUGAACCCAACCACUGACAACCGGAGGGCUGCCUCCCGCCUUGCUUUGUGAGUCACCAGGGGCUGUAUUUAACGAGAGCCUCUUACUUCAUGAGCCUCCAUUGUCAUGAGGCCAUCUUCCCUGGCUCCCAGUUCCUACUUGCUUCUCUCAAUAAAAUCCACUCUAAUUGGGGAUGAGAAUUUUUUCUAGAUUUAAGGUGGAACAGGGGUGAUGGUGGAAGUGAUGGACAAAGGCUGCGCGACUCCAGAGCAGGGAGCCUUGGAGUCUCAGGACAGGAGAGAGAAAGAGAGGGAGCUCGAUGCUGGUCUGUGAAUCGAAGAGAGUCCCACAACAACGUCAGCUAUUGCUGCUGGCCUCGGCUGCCUUGCAGAACUGGAAGGUGAGACGCUAUAGCCAAGGCACCAUGUACAUCAAACACAGCAUGGAGCUCCAGCUGGCCUGGAGGCCUCCUUCCUCCCGAGGGUCAGCUCUCCUGCUGUCUAUAGAAACUGUGUAAGCUGCCCAGGGAGCGAGUGAUGAUCAAUAGUCCUACCCAACGAUAAUGUCUACACACCACAGAGACGAGCAGCCCCACACGAUAUCUCAAGGAUGGACAGUGGCCCUUAUAACCAACACGGUCUACAUGGAUUCAAGGCCUAUUCAAUAGGAGGGAAUGUGUUCCUGGUAUCAUGAAGCUCGUGGAUGGU
rnacentral:lncRNA from 1 species